AUUGAACGCUGGCGGCAGGCCUAACACAUGCAAGUCGCGCAGAGCGUCGGACGGGUGAGUAAUGCCUAGGAAUCUGCCUGGUAGUGUGGGAUAACGUCCGGAAACGGGCGCUAAUACCGCAUACUAUCAGAUGAGCCUAGGUCGGAUGCGAUAGUUGGUGGGGUAAAGGCCUACCAAGUCGCCGAUCCGUAACUGGUCUGAGAGGAGGAUCAGUAAAACUGAAACUGAGACACGGUCCAGACUCAUACGGGAGGCAGCAGUGUGGAAUAUUGGACAAUGGGCGAAAGCCUGAUCCAGCCAUGCCGCGUGUGGGAAGAAGGUCUUCGGAUUGUAAAGCACUUUAAGUUGGGAGGCGUUACCAACAGAAUAAGCACCGGCUAACUCCGUGCCAGCAGCCGCGGUAAUAC
rnacentral:rRNA from 1 species